CGCCACCACUGCCCGGCUCAUUGGCUAUUUUUAAUGGACCCUCUGAUAUUAAGCGUCUUUAUUUCUUCCUCUCGGUCCAUACACCUCUUUAAUUUUGGAUUGACAUUUUGUAAUUUCUGUCCUGUGUCCCUUAGUCUUUUGAUCAGUCUUUUUAAGAUCUCAAUUUUAUAUGACCAAGAAAAUCUUUUGGAUUGAGUUUAUUGGGAGAGAUUGUCUUUAAUUAUAAAACGCUAUUGUAUGAUUGGCAGUCUUUGGCUGAGGCUGUGAUGAAUAAAAUUUUUAUUGAAAUAUGAGGGGUUUGAGGCCUCAUGGAAAUUGAGCUUUGGCUUAAAUAGGAAGAGAAGAGGUCCCGAAGGAGCUUGAAAUCUCUCUCUCUCUCUUUGUGUGUGUGUGUUUUCAGGAGCUGGGUCUCUCCUUCACUAUGUGGGUUCUCGGAUGUCAGGUCAUCAGGCAUGACAGCUAAUGCUUCCACCGCCGAGCCUUUUCUCUGGCCUCUUUUGAGGGUCGGUCAUGGAAGCUAGGAGCCAGGGAAAGGUUGAGAAUCAGUUGUCUCUUGGGAUCAGUCUGGCUUGUUUCUCAGGAGGCAUGGAGUUCUCUUUAUCAUGCAAACAACUGGGAAUUUGAAGUAGAAAGUCUCUGUGGGAACAAGCUUUGGGACUGCCAUGUCACAGAACUAGAGAAUGCCUUUAAUCUAAAAGACAUUCAAUGAGUGCUGAAAGCACUCAUCUGUCCUGUCCCCACCUGUGGCUCAAAGUGGAGAACGUGAGUGGCCACAUGGCUGUGGAGAUGUUCAGUGAUUAGCUUCCUCAGUUACCAAGGUAACAGCACAAAAUCACAGCAAGCGUUUGGCCUGCCGUACGGAGCAUAACUUUCCAGUCACUGUGCAUGAUUAUGACGUUGCCUUAGUUUAAUUCCAUAUAACAGAAUAGUCAGUGUAGCUAAUCUGUGGCUGCAAAGAGGGGGGUUAAGAAUGACAGGCAUUCAGUGUGUUCCUUUGGGUAGCCUAAAGUGACAUGGAUUAAUAUGCUGCCAGUGUUCUUCCCCUGAGAAAUAUUUGGUCACAAGAAGAUCUGGCUUUAAGAAGAAACUCAAAUUCGGGUGUGUGGCUUUUGGCACAGUCUUGACUCACUGGAAUGGCCUAAUGUAUAUCUGGUUUCUUUUUUCCCAUGCUUUAUUUGGGGUGUCCACCAAGACACACUUCCUGCCUGUGGGGUUAUCUACAUCCAUAGCCUGAGUCUUGGUUUGCAAAGUCACACAGAGGAAGCAGCAUACAGAAGACACAGGGCAGUGUAGAGACUGGACAGAAACACUUUGAAACUGGAUGCAGGAUUACAUACAGCAAGUUUCCUAGGUCAGUGGAAACUGGGGUGUUUGACUGAAGGCCAACAGUUAGCAAUUGUGUUCUGUUUCUGAGACUAGAAGUGGCAAACAUUUGUCAGAUUCCCUCAGUCAUCCCAUGAAAUGCAAAUGUUGCAACUGUCAGAUUGUCAGAAACCUAAAGACUCCAUAUGUUCUCUUUGCUGUGAUGUAUACAUAGGCUGUAUGGCCUUUGAUAGUGUCACAGUGUAGGAAGGUACCUGAGGAACAACUGGAAAAUUGGAGU
rnacentral:lncRNA from 1 species